rnacentral:rRNA from 1 species
GAUCAUGGCUCAGGAUGAACGCUAGCUACAGGCUUAACACAUGCAAGUCGAGGGGCAGCAUUUUAGUUUGCUUGCAAACUAAAGAUGGCGACCGGCGCACGGGUGAGGUAACACGGUAUCCAACCUGCCGAUAACUCAGGGAUAGCCUUUCGAAAGAAAGAUAAAAUACCUGAUGGCAUAGGAUUAUCGCAUGAUAAUCCUAUUAAAGAAUUUCGGUUAUCGAUGGGGAUGCGUUCCA